rnacentral:rRNA from 1 species
CAGUAGCCGCGGUAAUACGGAGGGGGCUAGCGUUGUUCGGAAUUACUGGGCGUAAAGCGCACGUAGGCGGUUUUGUAAGUCAGAGGUGAAAGCCCGGAGCUCAACUCCGGAACUGCCUUUGAGACUGCAUCACUUGAACGUCGGAGAGGUGAGUGGAAUUCCGAGUGUAGAGGUGAAAUUCGUAGAUAUUCGGAAGAACACCAGUGGCGAAGGCGGCUCACUGGACGACUGUUGACGCUGAGGUGCGAAAGCGUGGGGAGCAAACAGGAUUAGAGACCCGCGUAGUCCCUGUCUCUUAUAC